ACUGGAUAGGAAAUAAAAAGGCAUCUUUUUAUUUUUAAAAGACCUUUUUCGGAAGGUAUGCUUAAAGAGGGGCUUGCGUCACAUUAGUUAGUUGGCAGGGUAAAGGCCUACCAAGACUAUGAUGUGUAGCUGGACUGAGAGGUUGAACAGCCACAUUGGGACUGAGACACGGCCCAAACUCCUACGGGAGGCAGCAGUAGGGAAUUUUCGGCAAUGGAGGAAACUCUGACCGAGCAACGCCGCGUGAACGAUGAAGUAUUUCGGUAUGUAAAGUUCUUUUAUUGAAGAAGAAAAAAUAGUGGAAAAACUAUCUUGACGAUAUUCAAUGAAUAAGCCCCGGCAAACUAUGUGCCAGCAGCCGCGGUAAUACAUAGGGGGCGAGCGUUAUCCGGAAUUAUUGGGCGUAAAGGGUGCGUAGGCGGUUUAAUAAGUCUAUAGUUUAAUUUCAGUGCUUAACACUGUCCUGCUAUAGAAACUAUUAGACUAGAGUGAGAUAGAGGCAAGUGGAAUUCCAUGUGUAGCGGUAAAAUGCGUAAAUAUAUGGAGGAACACCAGAGGCGUAGGCGGCUUGCUGGGUCUUUACUGACGCUGAGGCACGAAAGCGUGGGGAGCAAACAGGAUUAGAUACCCUGGUAGUCCACGCCGUAAACGAUGAGUACUAAGUGUCGGGAUUACUCGGUACUGAAGUUAACACAUUAAGUACUCCGCCUGAGUAGUACGUACGCAAGUAUGAAACUUAAAGGAAUUGACGGGACUCCGCACAAGCGGUGGAUCAUGUUGUUUAAUUCGAAGAUACACGAAAAACCUUACCAGGUCUUGACAUACUCUGCAAAGCUAUAGCAAUAUAGUGGAGGUUAUCAGGGAUACAGGUGGUGCAUGGUUGUCGUCAGCUCGUGUCGUGAGAUGUUAGGUUAAGUCCUAAAACGAGCGCAACCCUUGUCAUUAGUUGCCAGCAUGUUAUGAUGGGCACUUUAAUGAGACUGCCAAUGAAAAAUUGGAGGAAGGUGAGGAUCACGUCAAAUCAUCAUGCCCCUUAUGAUCUGGGCUACAAACGUGAUACAAUGGCUGUUACAAAGAGUAGCUGAAACGUAAGUUUAUAGCCAAUCUCAUAAAAGCAGUCUCAGUUCGGAUUGAAGUCUGCAACUCGACUUCAUGAAGUUGGAAUCGCUAGUAAUCGCGAAUCAGCAUGUCGCGGUGAAUACGUUCUCGGGGUUUGUACACACCGCCCGUCAAACCACGAAAGUUGGUAAUACUCAAAAACGGUAGCCUAACUUCUUCGGAAGAGGGAACCGUCUAAGGUAGGAUCGAUGAUUGGGGUUAAGUCU
rnacentral:rRNA from 1 species